GUAGUUAGCCGUGGCUUAUUCGCCGGGUACCGUCAGAGCUUCUUCCCCGGCAAAAGGGGUUUACGACCCGAAGGCCUUCUUCCCCCACGCGGCGUCGCUGGGUCAGGCUUUCGCCCAUUGCCCAAGAUUCCUC
rnacentral:rRNA from 1 species